CUUGAACACCGUAACCCUUCUUUGGCCUCGCUGGACUCUUCUACUUGAAUAGACUAAAAACUCUAAAGGCAUAAAAAUUAGGAAGACCAAUUAGCUAAUCUUACUCUUUUUGAAAUUCAGAAAUUAACUUUUUUCAUAUUAAAGAAGAUAUCUUGGCUAUCGCAUAUAAGAAAGAGUUCUCCUGAUGGCAACAGCAUGUCUUUUCUUUGAUGUCCAGCACAGCCACUUGGUCUGAUCAUUGCAAUUUAUUUUUAUAUGAUGUGUGCAUUUUGCUUACCUAGAGCUAAAUUCAUAUACACAAACAGCUUAUUUUAUUAAGUUGCACACAUUAAUUUGCAAUAGCUAUUUCCUUUCCCCUGAGUGCAAGUGUUAAUAACCUUGUUAUGUACUUAAGCAAUGUGCUUAUGUCUCAAAGAAAACCCUGUCUUUGAAACUCUGCCUCUGGAAAGAUGCAAGCUAUGUUUUUGCCAAUAACACAUGAAUAAUAAUAGUGAGGAUAUGCUGUCUCUUGCAGGGGUGAGGACCUGCUAAAUAUAACUGUCCUCAUUGAAGUGUGUUUGGACUACUUUGGCAAGAUGGGCAAGUAGCAAUUGCUUAUAAUUCAGUGGGUCAGGAUAUGAAGACUUUGGUUCAAGCUCGCUGAAGACACACAGAUUGCUCACAGGGAACUUCUAAACUCUUUCUUUUAUUGUUUCUAUCCUAUUUACUAGCUGUUUUAUCGUGAUUCUGAAACCACUGUAAGGGACAGCCACAGAAUUGCAUUGGAGGGUAUGCCUUUCUACGAAUUGAGCCCUCUAUAAAUAGCACAGGAGGGAAUACUUGCUAUUUGUCUUUGAACCAGUGUUUACUUUUAUUAAGAAAAAAUUACUGAGAAAGGGACCAUGAACCCUAACUCAAACAUGACUUUUGAACAUCAAGCCCACUUUGCCAUCUACUAAAAAGAGUUAACUCAUAUCAAUACUCUAUACAACUAAAAUAACCCACUUAAUUGACUAAAAAAAGAGUCUAGCUCAUUGCUCUCCUGAUUCUCCUCAGCAUCUGGCAGUUGUAGUGUUCCUGUGUUCAAGCUUUACUUGAACUUUACAGAGCUUCCUGUGUCACCUCUGGUUGGAGCGGAGGGGCUGUAAAGGUGUCUGUCAUCUAGCACAUGCAACUUAGCAUGCUCUCUUGAACAUCUUAUCUCAGGACUAGCUUACGCAGCUCUUGAAAAGCAGAGUAUUCCAUGUUGUUAAAUCUAUGUAUUGAGAAGAUGAGAUAAACCCUGGUAAAUUAUGUAGUUUAUGAAAACUCCAUUGACCUGGCCUUUGCAUUCAAAUUCUUUAACUUGGCCCAUAGCUUCUUUCUCCUUAGCAAUUCUGGUCGUCCAGCACCAUUCUGACAAACUUUAUGAAAGCCAAAUCAAGAUAAAUAGAACCUCAGUGCUGAUCAUCAUUAAUGUUUAAUGCAUACCCAGAUGGCAUGACAGCAGCCAGCGUGGCCUUUUUGUUGAAGUUAAUUGACAUAAAAAGUAAAUAAAACCCUAUUCUUCCUAACAGGCCCAGUUCUGGUGAUGAUUUCACUUUUGACAGAAGCUGUCCCUCAAAAGCAAACAUGCAAUAGAAGAAACAGAUCUCAUGAUGUUCAUAUCAGCAGUACAGCGCUGGACUUCCUAGUGAAGAAAACAGCAAGAUUAUAGACACAGUUUAGAACAAAGGAACACCAUAUACAUUUAAAGGCAUAAAGUAUUUACUCACUCCCUG
rnacentral:lncRNA from 1 species